rnacentral:lncRNA from 1 species
CAACGCGACGCCCGGCCGCGACUUCGCGAUCGGCGACGAGAGCGGCGGCAACGCGACCCCCGGCCGCGACUCCGCGAUCUCCAGCAACGUUUUUUUCGCCGAAUCAUUCGCGAAUCGCGAAUAAUUCGCGAAUGAUUAUUUUUGACGAAAAAAACGCGAUUUUUUUAGAAUUUUUCUGAAAAACACGGAAACGGCCGUUUAAUACGUAUUUUCAAAAAUGCGCGAAUAAUCCGCGAAUUAUUCGCGAAUUUACUAACUAAG